rnacentral:lncRNA from 1 species
AUAAGCUUGAAUCUAAAUUAAAGGUACUUUAGUAAUUUUAUAAAAUAGAGUUGGUGACUGAUAAAAAUAUUUUUAAUGUAAAUUUAACGAUCCGAUCCGCCAGUAACAAUAAUUCGUUUGACCAAAUCACCAGUCCAAAGUAUUUUAAUUCUGUUAUUAUUACUAAUGUAUCCAUCACACGGAUUUAAAUUCGUGUUAGCAAUAAUAACUGUUGGGUCAAACCAUUGACCUAAAAUGCUUAAAUAUAGUUAUUAUUAUUAGUAUAUAUAUCUGUCACUUAUAAAUCCAUCAGAUUCUUCCACAUUAUCCUAUAUAUGUAGGAUUAUUGAGAUAUUCAUAGGAAACCUAGCAUGUAAUAUAUCAUAUAAAACAAUAAGAUAUCAUUCUUUAAUAGCCCAAGUUUUUUAAAAUAGAUAGUUAUUUUAUGUUUUAUAUUUUUUUAACAAGAUAUGAAAGCAAGAGAUUCUAAUAAGUGUUUCUUUUGUAAGGUUUCGUUGGGAAUUGUAGCGUUUGGAAUUAUAGAGAGAUUAUAUUACGUACAGUGAGAAAGUAUGAUGAAAAAAUAACAUAUUUAUUUCCGUACGAAAUAUUGCAUUCUGCAUAUCUCGAUGAGUCAGUUACGAUACAUUUUGUGCAUUCUCACCGAAAGAACAAAAGCAUAUCAUUAUAUGCUUUUACUCCAACUCUAUUUUAUUUAAUAGGGGCAAUUGCUUAUAUACUCCUGAAAAGUUCCCGACUUUCCGAUUUACCCCACUUAGAAGGCUAAUAUUGAAAAUACCCUCUUUACGUUCCAACCUAUUUCUAAUAUACCCCUAGAGUUAAAAUCUGUUAAUUAACUCCGUUAACUCUGUAAAAUUACUAUUUUGCCCUUUCAAAUAUACUCUUCCACAAUCACUGACUUUCUUAUUUACCCUUAAAGUCAGGGGUACAAAAAAUAUUUUGACUUUUGGUCUUUUCCAAUAUACCCCUCUACCGUCACCAACAUUUCUUAUUUGCCCUUUAACUGUGGUAGAUGUUUAACUCACGUUUAACCCAAGUUAACUUAACAGGAGAUAACUGUGAGGAUAUUUUGCAAUAACAGUGGAACAUAUGAGGGGUAUUUUAGAAAGAAAAAAAAAUAGGUAAAUCAGAUAUUUUCAAAUGUAUGAGGAGUAUAUAGGUAAUUAUUCCUAUUUAACAAUAAAGUGUAGGUCUCAAUAUCAAACUAAGCCUAAGACUUCUUCUUCAUUUAAUUUUUUUUUGUUUAUUCCAUGUCCGAAUGCAAUUUGAAUAUAAAACUCUCUAAUAAAUUUUGAAUAUAAUUUUGGACUAGGUUGCAUACGGUGCAUUAAUUAUAUGUAUAAUUGGUAAGACAAAUAAGGCCUUUUCUGAUUCUGGAGGAAAUCUAAGUAGGAUCCUUAUCGGGUAUUAAUUACUCCAGGAUAAGAUCAAACUCGGCUUGGAAUCUUCAAAUAUCAAUCCCGCGUGUCUUUGUUGUCUGUUUUUUUUUUUUUUUUUUUUUUUUUUUUUUAUUAUUUCUCUUCCCUUUUCGGCGAACUCGUGUGCGUCCGCAGAAAUCGACCGGCCGAGGCCGNUUUUUUUUUUUUUUUUUUUUUUUUUUUUUUGAGAAAAAAGAAGUUAGGAUUCAAUCCGUUUUGUUUAUAUGUUUUUUAAAUAAAAUUAAUUAAAAAUAUGAAAUAAAUAUGCUUCAAAAUUUGGGUCUUGGGACGGUCAGUGAUGUGUCCCUGUUAUCGUCACCUACUAGCGAUUGCGUAAUUCCGACUGCUGGAGUUGGGCUCCUCCUCUUGCAAUUCUUACUGCAGCAAUUAGAGUUAAGUACAUCAACCAAUCACCAAAUUUAUAUUUGCAUGCAGUUACAACUGCAUUAUAGUUGUAAUCGCAUACAACCAAAUGGCCUCUUA